rnacentral:rRNA from 1 species
CCUACGGGUGGCAGCAGUGGGGAAUAUUGGGCAAUGGACGCAAGUCUGACCCAGCAACGCCGCGUGAAGGAAGACGGCUUUCGGGUUGUAAACUUCUUUUAAGGCGGAAGAGCAGAAGACGGUACCCCUUGAAUAAGCCACGGCUAACUACGUGCAAGCAGCUGCGGUAAUACGUAGGUGGCAAGUGUUGUCCGGAUUUACUGGGUGUAAGGGGCGUGCAGCCGGAGAGACAAGUCAGAUGUGAAAUCCACGGGCUCAACCCGUGAACUGCAUUUGAAACUGUUUCCCUUGAGUGUCGGAGAGGUAAUCGGAAUUCCUGGUGUAGCGGUGAAAUGCGUAGAUAUAAGGAAGAACACCAGUGGCAAAGGCGGAUUAC